rnacentral:lncRNA from 1 species
AAAAUAGGAGAAAACACAAGAAAUUCCUUACAUAUAUUUACCCUAUAUAGAAUUCUUGUGGGAGUCUUAGAUGGUAUAGGUCUCCUAGAAGUUACUGACAAAAAGAAAAAUGAAUAACUGACCUCACUGGAUAGUCCAACAACCUCAUAAAGCUAAACUAGUUGUUUCUCAGUGGGCAGACCCCUGGGGGGGGGAUCAGAGGGGGCUGGUCUGGCAGUCUAUUGC